rnacentral:rRNA from 1 species
UACGUAGGGGGCAAGCGUUGUCCGGAAUUAUUGGGCGUAAAGAGCUCGUAGGCGGUCUGUCGCGUCUGGUGUGAAAAUCCAGGGCUUAACCCUGGACCUGCAUCGGGUACGGGCAGACUAGAGUGCGGUAGGGGAGACUGGAAUUCCUGGUGUAGCGGUGAAAUGCGCAGAUAUCAGGAGGAACACCGGUGGCGAAGGCGGGUCUCUGGGCCGUAACUGACGCUGGAGGAGCGGAAAGCCGUGGGGAGCGAACAGG